rnacentral:rRNA from 1 species
UACGGAAGGUGCAAGCGUUAGUCGGAAUUACUGGGCGUAAAGGGUGCGUAGGCGGGAAUGUAAGUCGGUUGUGAAAUUCCGGAGCUCAACUUCGGAGCUGCAAUCGAAACUGCGUUUCUCAGAGGAAUGGCGGAGAGAAUGGAAUUCCAUAUGUAGCGGUGAAAUGCGUAGAUAUAUGGAAGAACACCUGUGGCGAAAGCGGUUCUCGAGCCUCCUCCUGACGCUGAGGCACGAAAGCAAGGGGAGCAAACAGG